rnacentral:rRNA from 1 species
AGCUCCAAUAGCGUAUAUUAAAGUUGUUGCAGUUAAAAAGCUCGUAGUUGGAUUUGUGGUUCGUCCCGCCGGCUGGGUCUCUGACCUUUGCUGUGCUGGUCGUCCAUCCUUGGGUGGAAUCUGUGUGGCAUUAGGUUGUCGUGCAGGGGAUGCCCAUCGUUUACUGUGAAAAAAUUAGAGUGUUCAAAGCAGGCUUAUGCCGUUGAAUAUAUUAGCAUGGAAUAAUAAUAUAGGACCUUGGUACUAUUUUGUUGGUUUGCGCACUGAGGUAAUGAUUAAUAGGGACAGUUGGGGGUAUUCGUAUUCCAUUGUAAGAGGUGAAAUUCUUGGAUUUUUGGAAGACGAACUACUGCGAAAGCAUUUACCAAGGAUGUUUUCAUUAAUCAAGAACGAAAGUACG